rnacentral:rRNA from 1 species
CCUACGGGUGGCUGCAGUGGGGAAUAUUGGACAAUGGGGGCAACCCUGAUCCAGCCAUGCCGCGUGUGUGAAGAAGGCCCUCGGGUUGUAAAGCACUUUCAGUGAGGAAGAACGCCUGGUGGUUAAUACCCAUCAGGAAAGACAUCACUCACAGAAGAAGCACCGGCUAACUCCGUGCCAGCAGCCGCGGUAAUACGGAGGGUGCGAGCGUUAAUCGGAAUUACUGGGCGUAAAGCGCGCGUAGGUGGCUUGAUAAGCCGGUUGUGAAAGCCCCGGGCUCAACCUGGGAACGGCAUCCGGAACUGUCAAGCUAGAGUGCAGGAGAGGAAGGUAGAAUUCCCGGUGUAGCGGUGAAAUGCGUAGAGAUCGGGAGGAAUACCAGUGGCGAAGGCGGCCCUCUGGACUGACACUGACACUGAGGUGCGAAAGCGUGGGUAGCAAACAGGAUUAGAUACCCUGGUAGUC